UAUACAGGGUAUUACGGUACAGAGUCAAUGUGGAGGCUAUAUACAGGGGGUACCGGUACAGAGUCAAUGUGGAGGCUAUAUACAGGGUGUUACGGUACAGAGUCAAUGUGGAGGCUAUAUACAGGGGGUACUGGUACAGAGUCAAUGUGGAGGCUAUAUACAGGGGGUACCGGUACAGAGUCAAUGUGGAGGCUAUAUACAGGGGGGUACCGGUACAGAGUCAAUGUGGAGGCUAUAUACAGGGGGUACCAGUACAGAGUCAAUGUGGAGGCUAUAUACAGGGGGUACCGGUACAGAGUCAAUGUGGAG
rnacentral:lncRNA from 1 species